AGUGAACGCUGGCGGUGGGCCUAACACAUGCAAGUCGAACGGCAGCACAGUACGUGCUUGCUCUUCCGGGUGGCGAGUUGCGGACGGGUGAGGAAUACAUCGGACUCUACUUUUUCGUGGGGGAUAACGUAGGGGAAGUUACGCUCAUAUCGCAUACGACCUUCGGGUGUAAGCAGGGGAUCUUCUCAGCUUGCGCGGUUGAAUGCGCCGAUGUCGGAUUAGCUGGUUGGCGGGGUACAGGCCCACCAAGGCGACGAUACGUGGCUGGACUGGGUGGAUGGUCAGCCACACUGGAACUGGGACACGGACCAUAGGCCUACGGGAGGGAGCAGUGGCGAAUAUUGGACAAUGGGCGCAAGCCUUAUCCAACCAUACCGAGUGGGUGAAGAAGACCUUCGGGUUGUAAAGCCCUUUUUUUGGGAGAGAAAAGCAUCAGGUUAAUACCCCGCUGUACUGACGGUACCCAAAGAAUAAGCACCGGCUAACUUCGUG
rnacentral:rRNA from 1 species